rnacentral:rRNA from 1 species
GAGGUCCGACCUGCCCAGUGAUAUUAAUUCAACGGCCGCGGUAUUUUGACCGCGCUAAGGUAGCACAAUCACUUGUCUCUUAAAUGGGGACUAGUAUGAAAGGACCCACGAGAAUCUAACUGUCUCCUUUCUUUAAUCCGUGAAACUAAUCUCCCUGUGAAAAAGCAGGGAUCAUUAUAUAAGACGAGAAGACCCUAUGGAGCUUUAGAUAAAGCAAUACUUUCUUUUUAUAAACCAUUUUCAGAAGAAUACCCCCAAGAAAUUUUGUUGCCAAUCUUUGGUUGGGGUGACCACGGAGUAAAACUAAUCCUCCACGCCGAAUGGAACCUUCCAUAACAAAGAGCUACAGUUCUACGAACCAAAAAAUUGACAAUUGACCCAAUAUUUGAUCAACGAAACAAGUUACCCUAGGGAUAACAGCGCAAUCUACUUCAAGAGUCCCUAUUGACAAGUGGGUUU